GUGGAUUAGAUACCCUGGUAGUCCACGCCCUAAACGAUGUCAACUAGGUGUUGGUGGGGUUAAACCCAUUAGUACCGUAGCUAACGCGUGAAGUUGACCGCCUGGGGAGUACGGCCGCAAGGUUAAAACUCAAAGGAAUUGACGGGGACCCGCACAAGCGGUGGAUGAUGUGGAUUAAUUCGAUGCAACGCGAAAAACCUUACCUACCCUUGACAUGUCCAGAAUCCUGAAGAGAUUUGGGAGUGCUCGAAAGAGAACUGGAACACAGGUGCUGCACGGUUGUCGCCAACU
rnacentral:rRNA from 1 species